ensembl:lncRNA
UUAACACUACCCCUCAUCAGUUUAACACUACCCCUCAUCAGUUUAACACUACCCUCACAUCAUGUCCAACAGUAGCACACUGACAGGUGGUUCACAUCAGGCCUCCUCAUGUCCAACAGUAGCACACUGACAGGUGGUUCACAUCAGGCCUCCUCAUGUCCAACAGUAGCACACUGACAGGUGGUUCACAUCAGGCCUCCUCAUGUCCAGCAGUAGCACACUGACAGGUCCCCUCCUCAUGUCCAACAGUAGCACACUGACAGGUGGUUCACAUCAGGCCUCCUCAUGUCCAACAGUAGCACACUGACAGGUCCCCUCCUCAUGUCCAACAGUAGCACACUGACAGGUGGUUCACAUCAGGCCUCCUCAUGUCCAACAGUAGCACACUGACAGGUCCCCUCCUCAUGUCCAACAGUAGCACACUGACAGGUGGUUCACAUCAGGCCUCCUCAUGUCGAACA